GUGGAAUUUGAAUUUCAUGAAAACAAGCGUCUCCUGACCGUUUCGGUAACCCCUGCGCCCGGCAGGUGGGAGGACUCAAGAGGCUUUGGAAAAUAUAUAUGAACGGUUGUGAACGCGUUACAGCCUCGAACGGCUAACGUCCCCAUUCACAGAUGUGGAAACUGAGGCUCACUGGUCACGAGGCACUAGCUAGGCCUCAGGAACCUGGACACUCCACCCUCCAAGGCUCUCGCUGAGCCGUCUCCCACGAAGACACCCCCCCAAGGAAAGGCAGCACCCCAGAGCACCCCAGGGGCACCCAGGUUUCCGCGGGCUCGGCGCGGUGCGGGGCACUCUGGGAAAUGUAGUCCGGUCCGCUUUCCGGCUCCUGCGACUUCCGCUUCCGGCAGGCACGAGCUUCGCGCGAGGCUUGGGGGAAAGACGCGUGGGGACCGCGGGAGGAGCGGCGGGGGACCCGGGGGGCGUUUGCGUGGAGGGACGCUGGGUGCCGAGCUUGCUUAGUCGGCGCCGGCUGUGUGCGGUGGGCGUCGCGGCCGCCGGGGCAGAGGCGGGACUCUAACCUGAGGCCCCUUGCUGGCCUCCCGGGGCGCGCCCCAGGCCGGUGUUCGGCCCCGGAGGACGAGGAGAGAGCGUCCGGUGUGGCCUCCGAGGCCGACUUUAGGCUGCCUGGGCUUUGGCCUCCUGCCCUUUUGGAGAAAGCCAUUGAAGAGCAUUGAAGCUAAGGAGAUUCUGGCUUUCAUUAUGGCCCAGGUGAACUACUGAUCUUUUUUUUUUUUUUUUUCAUCUACUUUUUUUUAGAGAGAAUGAGGGGAGGGGCAAUGGGAAAGAAUCUCAAGCAGACCCCUUGCUGAGUGUGGAGCCAGGUGUGGGGUUUGAUCCCACAAUCCAUGAGAUCAUGACUCAAACCAAAAUCGAGAGUCAGAUGCUCAACCAACUGAGCCACCCAGACAUCUAUGAACUAAUGGUCUUUUUGUAAAUACUCUCCACCGAAAAGAACUGUAUCACUCUCUCCGCUCCUCCUACUGCAUGUUUCUUCAUAAUAUUAUUCACUACCUGUGUAAUUUUAUUUGUUUGUGGGUGCCAGACAUAGCCCAGAAACGUAUUGAUGUAUUUUUUUUUUAUCUCACAAGAUUUACUUACUCAUUUUUUUUUUAAAGAUUUUAUUUAUUCAUUCAUGCAAGACACAGAGACAUAGGCAGAGGGAGAAGCAGGGUCCCGAAAGGAGCCUUUACAGGACUCGAUUCUAGGACCUGGGGAUCAUGCCCUGAUCCAAAGGCAGACACUCAACCGCUAAGCGUCCCUCUCACACAGGAUUUAAAACCAACUUGAGUUUACAUUCAAAAUUAAAGGAGUUUAAAAAAAAAAAAAAUUAAAGGAGUUUUCAUUUGAACAUCCAGCUAUCAGAUGUCUUCAGUCAGACAUCUGGUUGGCAGCAUGGGGCUCACGUUCCCCUCUACUCCCCAUGUCCCUGACCCCAGCUUCCAUCAGCAACUGCCGUUGUGCCAGCAUUGCUGUUUCUUGUAGUAGGGAGAAAAUCUCCAUACUCGCGUCACUUUCCUACAUGACAGUACAAAAGAUGAGGGACACUUAUUUUAAUAAAAAUAGGAGAGAACAAGUGUCUUUGUGGAUAGCAUGAAUAUUCCAGAAUGUUAGGUAUGCAAACUGUUGAAAGGCCAGUCUUGCCUCCCUCCCUGGCUCUAGUCUGCAGCGGGUGAUGGUCUAAGGACCAAGGAGAAUCAUGUGUCAUUCCAAGGACUGGCAGUGUUUAGGGGUCUGGCUGUGUUCUCUGGACUGAAUUGUAUCUCCCCAAAAUAUAGGUUGAAGCCCUAACCCCAAUGUGACUAUAUUUGGAGAGAGGGUCGGUAGGUGGUAAUUAAGGUUAAAUGAAAUGAUACGAAUGGCACCCUGACCUGAUAGGAUUGCGGCCUUACUCAAAAGAGAAACCUUAUUAAGAGGGAUCACUCUCUACCUUGUGAGGACACUGUGAGAAGGUAGCAGUCUGCAGGCUGGAAGAGAGCUCCCAUGAGGAACUGAGUCCACUAAUGCCUUGAUCGUGGACUUCCAGCCUUCAGAACUAUAAGAAAUACGGGUGGUCUAAGGCUCCCAGUCUGUGGUGUGCUGUUACAGCAGCCUGAGCAGACGAAGACACUGUUCCCCAAAAGGAGUGUGUGAAUCUUCACCCCAUUCUGAGUGAUGCCUGGGCAGACGACAAGCAGGAGAGUUUAGCAGCUGUCAUCCCUAGGAGUAAGGAUUUCCAAGCAUGCCUGGUGGUCCUUGAAUUCCCUUACAUCCCCCACACUCCAGCCUCCUUUAUCCUGG
rnacentral:lncRNA from 1 species